rnacentral:rRNA from 1 species
GGUUAAGCGACUAAGCGUACACGGUGGAUGCCCUGGCAGUCAGAGGCGAUGAAGGACGUGCUAAUCUGCGAAAAGCGUCGGUAAGGUGAUAUGAACCGUUAUAACCGGCGAUGUCCGAAUGGGGAAACCCAGUGUGAUUCGUCACACUAUCGUUAACUGAAUACAUAGGUUAACGAGGCGAACCGGGGGAACUGAAACAUCUAAGUACCCCGAGGAAAAGAAAUCAACCGAGAUUCCCCCAGUAGCGGCGAGCGAACGGGGAGCAGCCCAGAGUCUGAAUCAGCUUGUGUGUUAGUGGAACGGUCUGGAAAGUCCGACGGUACAGGGUGAUAGUCCCGUACACCAAAAUGCACAGGCUGUGAACUCGAAGAGU